AUUGAACGCUGGCGGCAGGCCUAACACAUGCAAGUCGAGCGGAUGAAGGGAGCUUGCUCCUGGAUUCAGCGGCGGACGGGUGAGUAAUGCCUAGGAAUCUGCCUGGUAGUGGGGGAUAACGUCCGGAAACGGGCGCUAAUACCGCAUACGUCCUGAGGGAGAAAGUGGGGGAUCUUCGGACCUCACGCUAUCAGAUGAGCCUAGGUCGGAUUAGCUAGUUGGUGGGGUAAAGGCCUACCAAGGCGACGAUCCGUAACUGGUCUGAGAGGAUGACCGGUCACACUGGAACUGAGACACGGUCCAGACUCCUACGGGAGGCAGCAGUGGGGAAUAUUGGACAAUGGGCGAAAGCCUGAUCCAGCCAUGCCGCGUGUGUGAAGAAGGUCUUCGGAUUGUAAAGCACUUUAAGUUGGGAGGAAGGGCAGUAAGUUAAUACCUUGCUGUUUUGACGUUACCAACAGAAUAAGCACCGGCUAACUUCGUG
rnacentral:rRNA from 1 species